AACCAGACUCCUACGGGAGGCAGCAGUGGGGAAUAUUGCACAAUGGGGGAAACCCUGAUGCAGCGACGCCGCGUGAGUGAAGAAGUAUCUCGGUACGUAAAGCUCUAUCAGCAGGGAAGAAAAUGACGGUACCUGACUAAGAAGCCCCGGCUAACUACGUGCCAGCAGCCGCGGUAAUACGUAGGGGGCAAGCGUUAUCCGGAUUUACUGGGUGUAAAGGGAGCGUAGACGGCAGCGCAAGUCUGGAGUGAAAUGCCGGGGCCCAACCCCGGAACUGCUUUGGAAACUGUGCAGCUCGAGUGCAGGAGAGGUAAGCGGAAUUCCUAGUGUAGCGGUGAAAUGCGUAGAUAUUAGGAGGAACACCAGUGGCGAAGGCAGCAUACCGGCGCCCGACUGACGCUGAGGCACGAAGGCGUGGGUAUCGAACAGGAUUAGAUACCCUAGUACG
rnacentral:rRNA from 1 species